AAAAUCACAUUGCACUUUGCCUUGCCAUUCAAGCAUCAUUUGAACUUUAGUACAAAUGUAAUUGGACAAAAUUGGAUUGCUUCAUGGGCCUGUUCGCGCCCAUGCAAGCUUGUGCAUGAAAUGACCAAAUUUAGCAAUUUUUCAAGUGUGCAAAUAUCAGUCCCAAAUGAUAUAAAUACAGGCCCUUGGAACUCAAUUUAAAGACACCUUGUGCUCAGCUUUUC
rnacentral:lncRNA from 1 species